rnacentral:rRNA from 1 species
AACGAACGCUGGCGGCAUGCCUAACACAUGCAAGUCGAACGGGACCUUCGGGUCUAGUGGCGCACGGGUGCGUAACGCGUGGGAACCUGCCCUUAGGUUCGGAAUAACUCCCCGAAAGGGGUGCUAAUACCGGAUAAUGUCUUCGGACCAAGGAUUUAUCGCCUUUGGAUGGGCCCGCGUUGGAUUAGCUAGUUGGUAGGGUAAAAGCCUACCAAGGCGACGAUCCAUAGCUGGUCUGAGAGGAUGAUCAGCCACACUGGGACUGAGACACGGCCCAGACUCCUACGGGAGGCAGCAGUGGGGAAUAUUGGACAAUGGGCGAAAGCCUGAUCCAGCAAUGCCGCGUGAGUGAUGAAGGCCUUAGGGUUGUAAAGCUCUUUUACCCGGGAUGAUAAUGACAGUACCGGGAGAAUAAGCUCCGGCUAACUCCGUG